ensembl:antisense Maats1os MYCBP-associated, testis expressed 1, opposite strand
CCGGUUCUCCAUUUCAUAAGCGAUGUUGUUGAUCUCCUCAGCGAUCUUCUCGAUUUCUUUUCUGGCUUGUUCCUCUGCAGUUCUCUCCUCGGUGUUCAGUAUGAUGUCUUCCAGGCGCUUUUGCUCCACCUGGCGCCGACCGCUCUCUUCUGCCUCCCGCAUGCGCCGUUGGCGCUCAGCCAGCAUGGCGAAGGCGUGGAUCCUCCUCUCCUCCUGCAACCUCACCAGCUCUUUGGACAGGAAGUCGAACAUAUCCGCCAGCACUCUUCCUUCCAGGUCACCCAAGUGGUUUUCAAUCACUGACAACUGAAAAACAAAACAAAAAAAAAA